GGAUCCCAUCAGAACUCCGCAGUCAAGCGUGCUUGGGCGAGAGUAGUACUAGGAUGGGUGACCUCCUGGGAAGUCCUCGUGUUGCACCU
rnacentral:rRNA from 1 species